AUUAUUGUUUAUAUGUGUCCUCUGAACUAGGGUUGUGACAUUGAGGAAAUUUUCCCACCGGUUAAUCGACGUGUGACAAUACCGGUA